rnacentral:lncRNA from 1 species
GAGGAAUGAGUCCCCCGUUCUCACCCCGGGGAGCGGUUGCCUCGUGAGUCCAAGGAGAAUCCGCCCUUUCGUUUUGCGCAGGUGGAGAUCUCGCGGGCCCAGUUCGGAGUCCUGCAAACUGUGGAGGAGAUGCCUCUGUCCCGUCGGUCUGGGGACAGCCCAGCUCCCCGGAUCCCGGGCUGGAGAGACGCGUCGCGGCCCCGGGGCCUGGUGGCACGAGCAGGAAGGAGGACCCGGCGGCGGGCUCUGCCUGGGCUUGCCUGGGCUUGUUCCGAGCCGGGCUGCUUCUCGGUGACCACGCAGAUCGGGGGCAUUUGGAGAUUUUGCGGGAGUCCUGCAGCCAAGCUCCGGGGCAGGAGAGGCCUGGAAGCCUGCACUACCUGCUCGCCCCGUCCCAGCAUGCACCCAG